AAGGCUGCCAAAAUAAUGGAGCGGAUGGUGAAUCAGAACACAUUUGAUGAUAUUGCACAAGAUUUUAAAUAUUUUGAGGAUACCUCCGAUGAAUACAGAGACCAACAGGGCACCCUCCUCCCACUCUGGAAGUUUCAGUAUGACAAAACCAAGAGACUUGCAGUUACUGCCAUCUCCUGGAAUCCAAAGUACAAGGACCUUUUUGCAGUGGGGUAUGGUUCUUGUAA